rnacentral:rRNA from 1 species
GGAAUAUUGGACAAUGGGCGCAAGCCUGAUCCAGCCAUGCCGCGUGCAGGAUGACGGUCCUAUGGAUUGUAAACUGCUUUUAUACGAGAAGAAACACUACUUCGUGAAGUAGCUUGACGGUAUCGUAAGAAUAAGGAUCGGCUAACUCCGUGCCAGCAGCCGCGGUAAUACGGAGGAUCCAAGCGUUAUCCGGAAUCAUUGGGUUUAAAGGGUCCGUAGGCGGUUUAAUAAGUCAGUGGUGAAAGCCCAUCGCUCAACGGUGGAACGGCCAUUGAUACUGUUAGACUUGAAUUAUUAGGAAGUAACUAGAAUAUGUAGUGUAGCGGUGAAAUGCUUAGAGAUUACAUGGAAUACCAAUUGCGAAGGCAGGUUACUACUAAUUGAUUGACGCUGAUGGACGAAAGCGUGGGUAGCGAACAGGAUUAGAUACCCGGG